AGACGGAUACAGAAUAGUUAAUUUGUUGAAGUAUUGAAUAAAUGUGUAAAUCUUCUUUGACUUAAACAUCACCGCGCUGACUCUAACUGCACGUGCACGAGCAAUCUCACAGGGUACGAGCAGGAGCCUGCAGGCCAGGGUUAAAGAUAACAGUGAAGGGUUGGGGCCACAUUCCAAUCUUCGGGAGGGAGACGAGCGCUUGGGAAGAGUUCACAUUUGUAGCUUAGAGAUAAUAAAGUAUUUAAACUAACUAGUAGGAUAAACUCAAAUAAAUUAAUAAUUUAAAAUGGCACCAACAGCGGUAGAGAUUUUGAGCAAAAACAAUCCAUUGCUCAGAGAUGAGAUAACAAGGAUCUCUGAGAAAUGGGAGAAAGGAACAGCUAAAACAAGCACGAUAUGGCCCAUGGGAGGGACUUUUGAUCCAAUAAUGUGUAGGGACAUGGAGGUAGUAAUAAGGAACUACAAACCUAACAGAAGUGGAAAAAAGGCCUUAGAGAUGAGAGACAGGGAAAGGUUAGUGCUAGCUUUGUUUGAAAUGGAGGGAGAGAGGUGGAGCGCUUUACAACGAGUGGCCAGAAAAAUAAUCACAAAGGAAGAAGAGGCUCAACCUUUGCCUCUGAAGCUUGAGCCACCGCCGUACAAACCAACUAACAUGCAUCAACUGAUAACAGACAACGUGGAAUUUAAAGGGGAAGUCACACUAGAUGAAGGAGAUAAUAAAUGUAACACACAAGGGAGGGUCAGUGGGGACCCAGGCACAGAGGUGUCUGGCUGCAGUACAUCAAUACAAAGCCCCCUAGUACUCCAGUCACGGGGGAAACUAAGGAGAGCACGAAGGGGAAGAAAGGCACCCGACACCCUCCCAGGCUUUUUUUUCAACAGGAGAAAGACAGAGUUCCAGAGUUGGAGGAGGAGCCACCAAGGGGGGUGGAGCCAGGUGACCACGUGUAUCUCAGAGUGUUCAGGAGAAAGUGGAACGAGCUCAGGAGAGAAGGACCAUACAAAGUCACCAACGCAACACCAACAGCCAUCCAAGUGGAAGGAAGUGCCACGUGGUAUCAUCUCAACCACUGCACAAAAGCUGCUCAACCCAAAGCCAGAGACAACCAUGAGGAGGAGGAGCCAGACGCAGACAUACGUGGGGCUGACCAGCUGCCCCAGGACCAGAUCCAGUCGAGCCAAGAGAUACAACAGCAUGAUGAUGCUGAAAACGGGGAGCCUGUUUCUGAUCCUUUACGGGUUGUGCCAGAUUUCGCUGGCACAAGCACAGACCCCGAGGAAGGAUGAAACCACGGG
ensembl:lncRNA